ACAGUAAAUUGUAGUUUUGUAUGGAGUUUAAAUCGGUAGCACUAUAAUAUCAACAUAGCUAACAAUGAUUGCUAUUCGAUGGCACCAGUAACUAAAGGGUCGAUACUUAUUGCUGAGUUAAAUAACUACUCAUAACAAUGGUUCACAGUCUGAACUUACAGACACAGAUGCAAUGGAUACAGGUGGAAGAAUGAUAGGCACGUUGCUAGAACCGACUGUCAUCGCUGAGUAAUUCAUAUAUUAAGAAUUUAUGAAAAUAAGUGAAUGGCAACAUUAAGCAAGACGGGAACACUUGUGAUCUGAUCUUUAAACGCCACGAGAUUGUUGCCUACAUUUUACAGUUCAAUUUACGACAGUGAGAGAUAAAACGAAAUAAUUUAGGACAAAAAAACUGAAGUUUUUUGUUGCAUUGAUGCCAGUAAAAUUGAAACAAGAAGAAAUGAAUACAUUUAUAACCAAAUGUACUUAAAACGAGAAAAGUGAGAAGAGAGAAUCCCUUUACAUUCUGUUUUCAUUGAUAUAUUAGUACAUAAGUUAGACAUAAGCAUAUGUUGUUUAAAUAAACACAUGUGUAUUUAAUUUUGAUAAAACAAUGUACAAGCUAGUUUUAGGAAGAUAAAUAUAAUACAAUUGUACUAAGACUUUGAGAACUAUUUCGUUGAACCAACAUUGUAACACAUCAUGUGAAAUGUAUGUCAUGUUAAUUAAGUACAACAUAUGUUCACAUAUUUUGAAACUAUUAUUACACACACUCAUAUAUAACUUGGAUUUAUCAUACUUAUAAAAAUAAGAGGAGAUUGUUUCUAAAAUAUGAAUGUACCUUCAAUUUCAUACCCUACCUUCUGCGAAGUUCUAAUAAAGUAUUUUUUAACGAAGUUUAGUUACUCAGAACCCUGUUCUAUUUCCUUAUUUUUAACCAAAAAUGAUAUUGCAGAAGAAUGAUAGCCAGUCAUUGCUAAAUGUAGGUAAGUAAUUAGGAAAACAAUAUCUUUCAUCUCCUUUCCACUAUUUAUUUAUUAAUAUUAAUUUAUGCGCUCUGUUACACACGAAAUAGUGUAUAGAUUAAUAGCAACAUUUAAGAAUGAUUGUUAUUACGAUUACGAUUGAAAUUAAAUAAAUGUCAACAUUUUACGAAGGAAUUAUGCAGUUAAUCGUUAUCAUUAUCUUUUUUAUUUACAUUAUAAAAUUAUCCUCACAUUAAACAAUACAAUAUCUUGUAUAUCAAUUAUCUGCAUAAUUAAUUACCAUUACUUUAUACGUAAUUAUUAAUUGCAAUACGGUAUAAUCCUAUAGAACAUAUUCGCGCAUAUAACUC